rnacentral:rRNA from 1 species
AAAUUGAAGAGUUUGAUCAUGGCUCAGAUUGAACGCUGGCGGCAGGCCUAACACAUGCAAGUCGAGCGGUAGCACAGAGAGCUUGCUCUCGGGUGACGAGCGGCGGACGGGUGAGUAAUGUCUGGGAAACUGCCUGAUGGAGGGGGAUAACUACUGGAAACGGUAGCUAAUACCGCAUAAUGUCGCAAGACCAAAGUGGGGGACCUUCGGGCCUCAUGCCAUCAGAUGUGCCCAGAUGGGAUUAGCUGGUAGGUGGGGUAACGGCUCACCUAGGCGACGAUCCCUAGCUGGUCUGAGAGGAUGACCAGCCACACUGGAACUGAGACACGGUCCAGACUCCUACGGGAGGCAGCAGUGGGGAAUAUUGCACAAUGGGCGCAAGCCUGAUGCAGCCAUGCCGCGUGUGUGAAGAAGGCCUUCGGGUUGUAAAGCACUUUCAGCGGGGAGGAAGGCGUUAAGGUUAAUAACCUUGGCGAUUGACGUUACCCGCAGAAGAAGCACCGGCUAACUCCGUGCCAGCAGCCGCGGUAAUACGGAGGGUGCAAGCGUUAAUCGGAAUUACUGGGCGUAAAGCGCACGCAGGCGGUCUGUCAAGUCGGAUGUGAAAUCCCCGGGCUCAACCUGGGAACUGCAUUCGAAACUGGCAGGCUAGAGUCUUGUAGAGGGGGGUAGAAUUCCAGGUGUAGCGGUGAAAUGCGUAGAGAUCUGGAGGAAUACCGGUGGCGAAGGCGGCCCCCUGGACAAAGACUGACGCUCAGGUGCGAAAGCGUGGGGAGCAAACAGGAUUAGAUACCCUGGUAGUCCACGCUGUAAACGAUGUCGAUUUGGAGGUUGUGCCCUUGAGGCGUGGCUUCCGGAGCUAACGCGUUAAAUCGACCGCCUGGGGAGUACGGCCGCAAGGUUAAAACUCAAAUGAAUUGACGGGGGCCCGCACAAGCGGUGGAGCAUGUGGUUUAAUUCGAUGCAACGCGAAGAACCUUACCUGGUCUUGACAUCCACAGAACUUUCCAGAGAUGGAUUGGUGCCUUCGGGAACUGUGAGACAGGUGCUGCAUGGCUGUCGUCAGCUCGUGUUGUGAAAUGUUGGGUUAAGUCCCGCAACGAGCGCAACCCUUAUCCUUUGUUGCCAGCGGUUAGGCCGGGAACUCAAAGGAGACUGCCAGUGAUAAACUGGAGGAAGGUGGGGAUGACGUCAAGUCAUCAUGGCCCUUACGACCAGGGCUACACACGUGCUACAAUGGCAUAUACAAAGAGAAGCGACCUCGCGAGAGCAAGCGGACCUCAUAAAGUAUGUCGUAGUCCGGAUUGGAGUCUGCAACUCGACUCCAUGAAGUCGGAAUCGCUAGUAAUCGUAGAUCAGAAUGCUACGGUGAAUACGUUCCCGGGCCUUGUACACACCGCCCGUCACACCAUGGGAGUGGGUUGCAAAAGAAGUAGGUAGCUUAACCUUCGGGAGGGCGCUUACCACUUUGUGAUUCAUGACUGGGGUGAAGUCGUAACAAGGUAACCGUAGGGGAACCUGCGGUUGGAUCACCUCCUUA